GCGCCCUGAAACGGCAGCAAAAGCAAAGUCCUUUUAAUCAGCGGGUCGCAGGUUCGAGUCCUGCUGGGCACACCA
rnacentral:tRNA from 1 species